UCAAACCUCUCAGCAGCAGCCAGUUAUUCUCAGUAAUUAUACUACUACUACUCUCUUGUCUCUACUUUCCCCUCUGUUUGUCUCAUUGUUCCUUUCCUGAAUUUCAAACCUUGCGUGUGUUGGUGACGAUUUUAUCGUCUUUGCAGACGAUUUUGUCAGCAGGUUUUGAAUGCUUUGGGGCAGAUUAUCAAACUACUGUCUGAUGGUCAUGGACUUGGUCUCCUUCUGCUACGGGAUCCUUGAAGAGAAAGCGAGUUGGUGAGAAUGAAGAGAGAGGCGAAAGUGAAGGAGAGAAACUGCAAGAGAAUGAGAGUGGUGGCAAUGAAGAAGCAGAGAAGCAGAUCAUUGAGAGAGAGA
rnacentral:lncRNA from 1 species